GUAGUCUGCAACUCGACUACAUGAAGCUGGAAUCGCUAGUAAUCGCGAAUCAGAAUGUCGCGGCGAAUACGUUCCCGGGUCUUGUACACACCGCCCGUCACACCAUGGGAGUCAGUAACGCCCGAAGCCGGUGACCCAACCAAACGGAGGGAGCCGUCGAAGGUGGGACCGAUAACUGGGGUGAAGUCGUAACAAGGUAAC
rnacentral:rRNA from 1 species